rnacentral:rRNA from 1 species
GACGAACGCUGGCGGCGUGCCUAAUACAUGCAAGUUGAGCGCUGAAGGCUGGUACUUGUACCAACUGGAUGAGCAGCGCACGGGUGAGUAACGCGUGGGGAAUCUGCCUUUGAGCGGGGGACAACCUUUGGAAACGAAUGCUAAUACCGCAUAAAAACUUUCAACAUAAGUUUUAAGUUUGAAAGAUGCAAUUGCAUCACUCACAGAUGAUUCCUCGUUGUAUUAGGUAGUUGGUGAGGUAAAGGCGCACCAAGGCGGUGAUACAUAGCCGACCUGAGAGGAUGGUCGGCCACAUUGGGACUGAGACACGGCCCAAAGGCAUACGGGAGGCAGCAGUAGGGAAUCUGCGGGAAUGGGCGAAAAUCUGACCGAGAAAGGCCGCGUGAGUGAAGAGGGUUGUCGGGUCGUAAAACUCGGUUGGUAGAGAAGAACGUUGGUGAGAGUGGAAAGCUCAUCAAGUGACGGUAACUACCCAGGAAGGGACGGCUAACUACGUG